rnacentral:rRNA from 1 species
UGUUUCGGCUAGGGGGCCAUCCCGGCUUACCAACCCGAUGCAAACUACGAAUACCGAAGAAUGUUAUCACGGGAGACACACGGCGGGUGCUAACGUCCGUCGUGAAGAGGGAAACAACCCAGACCGCCAGCUAAGGUCCCAAAGUCAUGGUUAAGUGGGAAACGAUGUGGGAAGGCACAGACAGCCAGGAUGUUGGCUUAGAAGCAGCCAUCAUUUAAAGAAAGCGUAAUAGCUCACUGGUCGAGUCGGCCUGCGCGGAAGAUGUAACGGGGCUAAACCAUGCACCGAAGCUGCGGCAGCGACACUAUGUGUUGUUGGGUAGGGGAGCGUUCUGUAAGCCGUUGAAGGUGUGCUGUGAGGCAUGCUGGAGGUAUCAGAAGUGCGAAUGCUGACAUAAGUAACGAUAAAGCGGGUGAAAAGCCCGCUCGCCGGAAGACCAAGGGUUCCUGUCCAACGUUAAUCGGGGCAGGGUGAGUCGACCCCUAAGGCGAGGCCGAAAGGCGUAGUCGAUGGGAAACAGGUUAAUAUUCCUGUACUUGGUGUUACUGCGAAGGGGGGACGGAGAAGGCUAUGUCAGCCGGGCGACGGUUGUCCCGGUUUAAGCAUGUAGGCGGAGGUUCCAGGUAAAUCCGGUACCUUAUUAACGCUGAGGUGUGAUGACGAGGCACUACGGUGCUGAAGUGAUAAAUGCCCUGCUUCCAGGAAAAGCCUCUAAGCAUCAGGUAACACGAAAUCGUACCCCAAACCGACACAGGUGGUCAGGUAGAGAAUACCAAGGCGCUUGAGAGAACUCGGGUGAAGGAACUAGGCAAAAUGGUGCCGUAAC